rnacentral:misc_RNA from 1 species
AAAAUUCCUUACAACAAAUCAUAUAUUUGUGAACAAUAGCCUGAAAAUUAGAAUGAAUCGAUCGAGUUGAAAACAGUAGAACUCGAUGAUAUAUGUUUCUCUCAAUGAAGGCAUAACACAGGAAAACGAAGAACUAAGAAUGAACUUAAGCGAAAUCUGGCUUCUCAGGGUAUGUACAACCCGACCUCUGGAUGAUAACGUUUGAUGCAUAACAACCUGCUCUAACACACUCAGCGAUAGGUUUUUCUUGAACCAACUGUGACAAGAAUCCUCCAACAAAUGCAUCCCCAGCA